GGAUGAAUGUCUCAGCAGUUCAAAGAGUCGGUCUUGAAAACCAAAGUAUUGAUAAGAAUACCUGGGGGUUUGAAUCCCUCUCCAUUCG
rnacentral:tRNA from 1 species